rnacentral:rRNA from 1 species
GACGAACGCUGGCGGCGUGCUUAACACAUGCAAGUCGAACGGAAAGGCCCUGCUUUUGUGGGGUGCUCGAGUGGCGAACGGGUGAGUAACACGUGAGUAACCUGCCCUUGACUUUGGGAUAACUUCAGGAAACUGGGGCUAAUACCGGAUAGGAGCUCCUGCUGCAUGGUGGGGGUUGGAAAGCUUCGGCGGUUGGGGAUGGACUCGCGGCUUAUCAGCUUGUUGGUGGGGUAGUGGCUUACCAAGGCUUUGACGGGUAGCCGGCCUGAGAGGGUGACCGGCCACAUUGGGACUGAGAUACGGCCCAGACUCCUACGGGAGGCAGCAGUGGGGAAUAUUGCACAAUUGGCGGAAGCCUGAUGCAGCAACGCCGCGUGCGGGAUGACGGCCUUCGGGUUGUAAACCGCUUUCGCCUGUGACAAAGCGUGAGUGACGGUAAUGGGUAAAGAAGCACCGGCUAACUACGUGCCAGCCGCCGCCGUAAAAC